UUGGCGAACGGGUGAGUAACGCGUGAAUAACCUGACUCAAAGAGGGGGAUAACAACGGGAAACUGUUGCUAAUACCGCAUGAGACCACAACACCGCAUGAUGAAGGGGUCAAAGAUUUAUCGCUUUGAGAGGGGUUCGCGUCCCAUUAGGUAGUUGGAGGGGUAACGGUCCACCAAGCCAACGAUGGGUAGCCGAGCUGAGAGGCUGAUCGGCCACACUGGAACUGAGACACGGUCCAG
rnacentral:rRNA from 1 species